ensembl:lncRNA
GCCAGAACACAUCCGCCCCUUUUCUUUAAAAGGAAAUUCUUCAGAUAUAUGUAGGUUCAACGGCGUUUUGGAGUCAGUUGGGAAGGAAGGAGGAAGUGCAGACGGCUCUAAAAUGUACACACUGCACCUUUAACCAAAAUUUUAAAACACAGCAUAUGGUAUAAAAUAAUAAUCCAUCACCACAAGACACAUGGGAAUUCUUUUUUUUCUUUCUUUCUUUCUUUUUUUUUAGUCCUGGAAAGUCUGAUGUAGUGUGUAUUCGUGUAUGUGUGUGUGUGUGUGUGUGUGUGUGUGUGUGUGUGGUGAAGGGUAGGUAGGGGUAGUGCUGAUUGGUAUCCCAGACAUCUCUGGAGGUCUGGUAGUGUGUAGGUCGUAGGCCAAAGGGGCAGGGGGCUAGAGAGGAACAAAGGAUGGUUUGUGUGUGUGUGAGAGAGAGAGAGAGAGCGACAGAGAGAAAGAGAGAGACAGAAAGAGAGCAAGAGAGAGAGAGAGAGCGAGAGACAGAGAGUGUUAGGGAGAGAGAGAGAGAGCGAGAGACAGAGAGAGACAGAGAGCGAGAGACAGAGAGAAAGAGAGAGACAGAAAGAGAGCGAGAGACCAAGAGAGAGACAGAGAGUGUGAGGGAGAGAGAGAGAGAGCGCAAGAGACAGAGAGAGAGACAGAGAGCGAGAGACAGAGAGAGCGACAGAGAGCGAGAGAGAGACAGAAAGAGAGAGAGAGAAAGAAAGAGAGCGAGAGAGAGAGACAGAGAGCGACAAAGAGAGAGACAGAAAGAGAGCGAGAGACCGAGAGUGAGAGAGAGAGACAGAGAGAGACACAGAGAGUGUGAGGGAGAGAGAGAGCGAGAGACAGCGUGUGAGGGAGAGAGAGAGAGACAGAGAGAGAGAGAAAGAGAGGAGGGAACACUGCUCCCUGUGUGUUUGGGAGUCUGGCCGCUAUUCAGGAGUCACACAGGAAUGUUGGCAUGGCCGACUGGCGUAGGAGGACCGGCAUUCCACACACACACACACACACACACACACACACACACACACACAGUCUUUUUGAGAAUAGCACUGUUUUUAGGUACAGGAGAAAGGAGGGGUCCAAGCACCAACGCAUUUUCACAGCCCCGUACGUUAAUCUUUUUUUUCCACUAGCUUCUGUCUAGCUUUUCUCAAGUUUAUCUUGAGAAGCAUUUUAUCGUAUGUGUAGUUUAUUAUUCUAAAAAAUAAAAACGAAAAAAAAACAACAACAACAAAAAAAAACCCCAGAGUUAACCAGCAGAAGUUUUUCCGUCUCCAGAGUAAAACAGAAUUGUACUUACUCAUGACGUGCCAUGUUUGAUGUUUUAGUAACCUCAGAAAAGCGAGAUAGCUGAGGAAACUGCUGUCUAUAACGGAAGUGCUAACAUGAACUAACUUGCUUCACGGCCACAAUUUUAAACGUAACUUUAAACGGAUUAAAAAAAAAAAGUAUGACGUCAUUCGUUAAUAAAUAAAAAAGCCAAAGGAAGAUUUCCACACUGGUGGAUAAUCCAUCAAGCAGUAGGAAAAUAAUCAACGAAAGCUUCAUCACACCAUCCUGUCGUUGAUUCUUUUCCGAUAACGGCACUUCCUGACGUCUUUAUUCCUUUUAUACAAUGACAAUUCCUUAAUAAAUUCCUUAUUCCCUAAUAAAAUGUUCCCCAACUGACACACGGUGUCUUUUGCUUUUGGCUGAAAGCAUUAGUUUCGAUAGAUUCACCUCAGGGAACUGAAACUGAACAUGUGAUGGUGUUGUAUUAUGACAGUUGAAAUACUAGGACAACUCUAUACACA